rnacentral:rRNA from 1 species
AUUGAACGCUGGCGGCAUGCCUUACACAUGCAAGUCGAACGGUAACGCGGGGCAACCUGGCGACGAGUGGCGAACGGGUGAGUAAUAUAUCGGAACGUGCCCAGUAGUGGGGGAUAGCCCGGCGAAAGCCGGAUUAAUACCGCAUACGACCUACGGGUGAAAGCAGGGGAUCGCAAGACCUCGCGCUAUUGGAGCGGCCG